UACGUAGGGAGCAAGCGUUGUCCGGAAUCAUUGGGCGUAAAGCGCGCGUAGGUGGCCCGGUAAGUCCGCUCUGAAAGUCACAGGCUCAACCUGGGAAAGCGUGUGGAUACUGGCGGGCUAGAGUCCGGAAGAGGCGAGUGGAAUUCCUGGUGUAGCGGUGGAAUGCGCAGAUAUCAGGAGGAACACCAACGGCGAAGGCAGCUCGCUGGGACGGUACUGACACUGAGGCGCGAAAGCGUGGGGAGCGAACAGG
rnacentral:rRNA from 1 species